ensembl:antisense Sp3os trans-acting transcription factor 3, opposite strand
UCUUGUACUCAGGGUGGGGAAGAGGGUACUUAGUGAAUUUUAAUGAGAGUUUUGCCUAUUAUACAUUACACAUUAUAACUGUCAAAGACAUAAGAUAAAACAUUUCAAGUCCCCUUUUGUCUUUAUGGAAGAAUCUGAACAUCUAUUAAGAAUCAAGAAGAAAAUAUUUGAAUCACAAUAGUGAAAACUCAGGAGCUGUAAUCCAUAAAUGAUGUUCUACUAUAGAUAAAUUAUACUUGAUUUUAAAAUGUAUUUUAAUUUUAUGUGUAUGGAUGUUUUGUCUGCAGGUAUGCCUGCUGCUCAUGGAGGGAAGAAGUGAGCUUGUAAUCCCUUUGGAGCUAGAGUUACAGAUGGCUAUGAGUUGCCACAGGGAUCCUGGAGAUUUGACCGAGAAGACCACUCACAGGUUGAUCCUCUUGUUCCACGAUGUGAGUUGCAGAUAUCAAACUCAGGUGGCCAGGCCUGGCAGCAAGCUCUUCUGGCCGUUCAGCCAUCUCACUGGCCCUGUGGAAAUCUUUUGAAGAAGAUGGACUCACAUGAGCACAAGUUCAGAAAUGAAUAGUUUGAAAGUAGGUUCUUGGAAAAUAAAUAAAUAAAUAAAUAAAUAAAUAAAGACAAUGGAAUGGAAAGAA